CUUGACUGUAGCUUGGAAUUGGGUUCGGGCUCUUCUUGCGCAGCCUAGGUGGGAGGCGUUGAAAGCUUUCUUUUGGGGAAGCUGGAGCCAUCAGUGAGAGACCACUCUGGAGGAGCUAGAAUUCUAAUGGCGUUCCUUGAAGCAGGACGCUUGACAGUUUCAGGUGGGCAGUUUGACUGGGGCGGUCACCUCCUAAAAGGUAACGGAGGUGUGCAAAGGUUCCCUCAGGCUGGACGGAAAUCAGCCGUAGAGUGUAAAGGCAGAAGGGAGCUUGACUGCAAGACCUACAAGUCGAGCAGGGGCGAAAGCCGGCCUUAGUGAUCCGACGGUUCCAUGUGGAAGGGCCGUCGCUCAACGGAUAAAAGUUA
rnacentral:rRNA from 1 species